UAGCAAACAAAUGCAUUAGGAAGUAGAAUCUAA
rnacentral:tRNA from 1 species